AUACGGAGGAUCCGAGCGUUAUCCGGAUUUAUUGGGUUUAAAGGGCGCGUAGGUGGAUUGUUAAGUCAGUUGUGAAAGUUUGCGGCUCAACCGUAAAAUUGCAGUUGAAACUGGCAGGCUUGAGUGCAGUAGAGGUGGGCGGAAUUCGGGGUGUAGCGGUGCAAUGGUUAGAUAUCACGAAGAACUCCGAUUGCGAAGGCAGCUCACUAGACUGUUACUGACACUGAUGCUCGAAAGUGCGGGUAUCAAACAGGAUUAGAUACCCUGGUAGUCCACACAGUAAACGAUGAAUACUCGCUGUUUGCGAUAUACAGUAAGCGGCCAAGCGAAAGCAUUAAGUAUUCCACCUGGGGAGUACGCCGGCAACGGUGAAACUUAAAGGAAUUGACGGGG
rnacentral:rRNA from 1 species